AACGCGUAUGCAAUCUACCUUUUACAGAGGGAUAGCCCAGAGAAAUUUGGAUUAAUACCUCAUAGUAUUAUGAAAUGGCAUCAUUUUAUAAUUAAAGUCACAACGGUAAAAGAUGAGCAUGCGUCCCAUUAGCUAGUUGGUAAGGUAACGGCUUACCAAGGCUACGAUGGGUAGGGGUCCUGAGAGGGAGAUCCCCCACACUGGUACUGAGACACGGACCAGACUCCUACGGGAGGCAGCAGUGAGGAAUAUUGGACAAUGGGCGCAAGCCUGAUCCAGCCAUGCCGCGUGCAGGAUGACGGUCCUAUGGAUUGUAAACUGCUUUUAUACGAGAAGAAACACUACUUCGUGAAGUAGCUUGACGGUAUCGUAAGAAUAAGGAUCGGCUAACUCCGUGCCAGCAGCCGCGGUAAUACGGAGGAUCCAAGCGUUAUCCGGAAUCAUUGGGUUUAAAGGGUCCGUAGGCGGUUUAAUAAGUCAGUGGUGAAAGCCCAUCGCUCAACGGUGGAACGGCCAUUGAUACUGUUAACUUAAUAUUAGGAAGAACUGAAUAUGAGUGACGGUAAAUGCUAGAGAUACAUGAAUCCAAUUCGAAGGAGGUUCUCUAGGAUUACGUAGGCGAACGGGGACGACAGGAU
rnacentral:rRNA from 1 species